ensembl:lncRNA
CUCGGAGCGAGCCCGCCCAGCUCCCGCCCCGCCCGCCCACACCCCGGCUCGGAACUCGCUCAGCAGCCGCCUCCGAGCGGCUCCACCCCCCUAGAGCCGUUUCGAACCUCGUUCGGUGCCCGCCUCCAAGCGGUCCCGCUCGGCCCCCCCGGUCCGCCCCUCCGGCUCAGAGCACGGCCAGCCCGCCCCCGCCCCCGAGCUGGUCCGCACUUCAGUCUCGCCACACCUCAGCCCACAGACACCGCUUGCCGCCUUUCCCUCAGAGCACACAGAUUCUUCUCACGCGCUGAGAUCACCUGUUGCUUACCUGUCCGCUCGUGCGGCUUAUAUAGGUGUCCCGGCCGCCCGCCAGCCAAUAGGAGCCCAGAACGCCGGUUUCUUUUCCCACCGCUUUUGCUUCCCGCCGAUUUCGGUUCCCGCCUCACCGCUCGCGCCCUUUUUGCUGAAGGCGACCGGGGCGGGGUCAACUGAGGGUCACGGGCUCCUCGCUGCGCUGCCGCCUUUACCCUCAAGGCAGAGCCGCCUCACAGGUGGUCGCUGUGAGGCCACAGCGUUCUGGUGGAGCUGCGUGUGGGGCACUCAUUUCUUCAGUUUCCAUUCUCAUCUUCUAGGUUUGUUCCUGAAGGUCAGAACUAUAUUAUGCUCUUCAGUGAUGACUCCCAUCAUUCUUGAAGAUCUUCUGAGAAGGAAUACAAAAAAAGGCAGAUCCCUCCAAGGUUAUACAGAGAACUUGUAUGAUCCCCAGCCAGUGUUUACUUUUGGAUUAUAAUGAGAAGUUAGCAAAGUACUCACCAUCUGUUCAGGAGAAAAGAGAAAUGUUCUUUGCCUGAGUGAACAAGUGGGAAAAGUAUUCAGAGAACUGAUUACUAGUUCAACUAAGUAGAUCAUGGGCCAAGUUUUGAUGAGAAAAGACAGAGAAAGCAAAAUUCCUGCUGCUGGAAUGGACGGAUCUUGUGUAUCAGCAGAGGUAGAAAAUUAAUUGACAAGAAGGGAAGAUGGCAGAGAAGGACCUGAGGCUCCUACUGGAUAGCAAGCCUGAAUAACUACUGGAAUACAAAUUCUGAUUAGAAACAUGGAAAACUCUUUCAUCAUGAGGACACGAGGAUGAUCAAAAAGCCUAGACAGGCUGUGAAACCUUCAGACUUAGAUAGUCAAAACUUGGCUUGACAUGGCCCUGAACAAUUUGAUCCAACUUGGUCUUACUCUGAAAGGAAGCAGGACUAGCUGAUGAACAAAGGCCCUAUUCAACCUAAAUUGUUCUCUGAUCCCGUGAUUUAGUUAUGUGAUGUCUUCUCUCCAGUUUAUUUAUGUGGAUAUCACUGAACCACUGGAAUGGCUAUCUUAUUCUGAGGUGAAGUGAACUCAGUACAUUACUCUUUUAUGGUAGCUCUACUGAAAUAGAUAAAGCUAAUGGGAGACUAUAUGGUAAAAAUGACAUUCUUACUUCAUUUUGGAAUUAGGAAAAUGAGGUAUUUGUCUUACCUGAUGUUACCUUUAGAUCUUAAGUUAGAAAUCCAGUUUCCACAGAGUCAUUCUGUUGUCAGUGAACAAGUGAAUGAACUGAGGAACAGAAGUUAAACUCUUGCUCUGAAUCAUCUUUUAGAAGAACAUAUUUCUCUUUGCCUAUGUACUCAUUUUAAUGAUACUAGCUGCUUAUAUGACUACAUUUAUGUGGUAUGAAUAGCUCCUCUCUGUUAUGAUCUUUAAUAUAUUUUAUGUAGUGAGAGAGAAAAUACAGUAGUGGUUUUGAAUAGUCUUAAAUGAAAGAAUAUAAGAAUUGUUAGUAUUGAGCACCAUACAGUUAUCAUCAGAUGCCUCAUUUACCCAUUGGGCAAAGUAACUUUGAGAGGCCCCUUCCAAUCUCAAUCAUAUUGUGAUUUUGUGAUCUCUAAAAAUAAACUCAGUUCAAACUCAUAAGCUCUCUUUUUA